rnacentral:rRNA from 1 species
GGGCGAAUUUUCCUGCAAUGGGCGAAAGCCUGACGGAGCAAUCUCGCGUGAGGGAUGACGGCCUCAUGGGUUGUAACACCUCUUUUUUCAGGGCAGGAAUAACUGACGUGUACCUGAAGAAUAAGCAUCGGCUAACUCCGUGCCANCAGCCGCGGUAAGACGGAGGAUGCAAGUGUUAUCCGGAAUCACUGGGCGUAAAGCGUCUGUAGGUGGUUUAGUAAGUCAACUGUUAAAUCUUGAGGCUUAACUUCAAAAUCGCAGUCGAAACUAUUAGACUAGAGUAUAGUAGGGGUAAAGGGAAUUUCCAGUGGAGCGGUGAAAUGCGUAUAGAUUGGAAAGAACACCGAUGGCNAAGGCACUUUACUGGGCUAUUACUGACACUCAGAGACGAAAGCUAGGGUACCAAAUGGGAUUAGAUACCCCAGUAGUC